GACGAACGCUGGCGGCGUGCUUAACACAUGCAAGUCGAACGGAAAGGCCCUGCUUUUGUGGGGUGCUCGAGUGGCGAACGGGUGAGUAACACGUGAGUAACCUGCCCUUGACUUUGGGAUAACCUCAGGAAACUGGGGCUAAUACCGGAUAGGAGCUCCUGCUGCAUGGUGGGGGUUGGAAAGUUUCGGCGGUUGGGGAUGGACUCGCGGCUUAUCAGCUUGUUGGUGGGGUAGUGGCUUACCAAGGCGUUGACGGGUAGCCGGCCUGAGAGGGUGAACGGCCACAUUGGGACUGAGAUACGGCCCAGACUCCUACGGGAGGCAGCAGUGGGGAAUAUUGCACAAUGGGCGGAAGCCUGAUGCAGCAACGCCGCGUGCGGGAUGACGGCCUUCGGGUUGUAAACCGCUUUCGCCUGUGACGAAGCGUGAGUGACGGUAAUGGGUAAAGAAGCACCGGCUAACUACGUG
rnacentral:rRNA from 1 species